rnacentral:rRNA from 1 species
UACAGGGGGUGCAAACGUUGCUCGGAAUCAUUGGGCGUAAAGCGCACGUAGGCGGUUCGUUAUGUCGGAUGUGAAAGCCCUUGGCUUAACCGAGGAAGUGCAUCCGAAACUGGCGAGCUAGAGUACGAAAGAGGAUCGCGGAAUUCCCGGUGUAGAGGUGAAAUUCGUAGAUAUCGGGAGGAACACCGGUGGCGAAGGCGGCGAUCUGGUGCGAUACUGACGCUGAGGUGCGAAAGCGUGGGGAGCAAACAGG